CCUACGGGAGGCUGCAGUGGGGAAUAUUGCACAAUGGGGGAAACCCUGAUGCAGCGACGCCGCGUGAGUGAAGAAGUAUUUCGGUACGUAAAGCUCUAUCAGCAGGGAAGAAAAUGACGGUACCUGACUAAGAAGCCCCGGCUAACUACGUGCCAGCAGCCGCUGUAAUACGUAGGGGGCAAGCGUUAUCCGGAUUUACUGGGUGUAAAGGGAGCGUAGACGGCAGCGCAAGUCUGGAGUGAAAUCCCAUGGCUUAACCAUGGAACUGCUUUGGAAACUGUGCAGCUAGAGUGCAGGAGAGGUAAGCGGAAUUCCUAGGGUAGCGGUGAAAUGCGUAGAUAUUAGGAGGAACACCAGUGGCGAAGGCGGCUUACUGGACUGUAACUGACGUUGAGGCUCGAAAGCGUGGGGAGCAAACAGGAUUAGAUACCCUUGUAGUC
rnacentral:rRNA from 1 species